UUGUUCGCAAUGGGCGCAAGCCUGACGACGCAACGCCGCGUGGAGGAUGAAGAUCUUCGGGUCGUAAACUCCUUUCGAUCGAGACGAAUGGCCUUCGGAUGAACAAUCCGGAGGAAUGACGGUACCGAGAGAAGAAGCCCCGGCUAACUCCGUGCCAGCAGCCGCGGUAAUACGGGGGGGGCAAGCGUUGUUCGGAAUUACUGGGCGUAAAGGGCUCGUAGGCGGCCAACUAAGUCACACGUGAAAUCCCUCGGCUCAACCGGGGAACUGCGUGUGAUACUGGAUGGCUUGAGUUCGGGAGAGGGAUGCGGAAUUCCAGGUGUAGCGGUGAAAUGCGUAGAUAUCUGGAGGAACACCGGUGGCGAAGGCGGCAUCCUGGACCGACACUGACGCUGAGGAGCGAAAGCCAGGGGAGCAAACGG
rnacentral:rRNA from 1 species